UUAACAAUUUCUUAACCAAGUUGGUUAAAGCUGUCUAGAAGUGGCUAUUAUUUCCUAAACAAAUUAACAGUGUUAUAAGUUUUCCCCUUUUAUAAAAGAAGAAUUAGAUUGACGGAUAACAAAAAAAACUGGAGAAGAUAAGAUAUCCAGAAACAACAGGAUUGCCUCAUAUCCUGACAUAAGAGAGGUACAAACUAAACAACUCGACAAGAGAGAGUGGUCAGUGGUUUCUAAACUAAAACCAAAUUAAAUACUACAACCUGAAAGAUUAAAUUAUCUUAGGAAUCUUGUACUAAUAAUUAAAUUUUGGGGAAACAGACUACACUCUGAGGUUGUGUUUGGAUGAGUAUUCUAGAGGGAGUGCAAUUUUUAGGAUAUUUAUCAUUUAAAUUGAUUUGGAGAGAAAUCCUUUAUUGGAUACUUAUUCCAAAGGAAUUUACGAAUCCCAAGGAUUUCUAUGAGCUAUUUUAUGUACCCCUAAAAUAGUGGAUUUCAAACUCCACCAUCAUGAAGGGAAUUCUAACAUUACUUCCUCUCUUCCAUGCCUUAAGACUCUCAUGACUCUUUCACACUAGCUUCUGCCUGCCCAUUGCCGACACUUGAUGCAGUCCGUCAAUGCUCCCUGCCGCUGCUCACCACCCGUUCCCUGACAAUU